CAAGAAAUUAGCAACGAUGGUGCUUUGUAUCUGUAUAUUAACUUGCUCGAAAUCCAUGUUCCUUCCCUGGCACUUUUAUCGCUGCAUCGAGUCUCAAUCCUUGCUUUCUCCAGUUCCUCAAAGGCAUCUCUUAGCUCCGAGAUUUUCAAAGGCGCAAAAGCAGGAGAACCCAAAACAGAAAACCCCAGAAGAACCAUUACAUCCUCUAACGUUAUGGUUGCUUCACCCCAAGGAAAGACAAAAGAUUUGGUUUCAGGACACCAUUUCUCAGUAACGGAGAGAAUCAAAGACACGUUUUUGGAGAUGUUUUAAGUAGAAGCCUUGACUGCGUCAAAAAUUCCAGCUUUUUUCCAAGUGGGUGCGUGUAAAGCUUCCAUUUUUACAACCCAAAGACACGUUUUUGGAGAUGUUGUAAGUAGAAGCCUUGAUUGCGUCAAAAAUUCCAGCUUUUUUCCAAGUGGGUGCGUGUAAAGCUUCCAUUUUUACAACCCAAGAUAAGAAACGACGCUCUGCAAUUGCAAACCAAAACCCUGAGAAGGAAACCUGUGAAGAGAAGCGUUUUAGCUCAGAAGAGAAAUCAGAGGGACGUUGGUAGUCACGGCGAGGAAGAUCAGACACAGAGCCACCUUUGAUGGAGGUAACGAAGGGUUUGAUGGAGCCACCUUUGAUCAGAUCUUUCACUUGAUUUGGAUGAAACAGUGGACAAAAGUGAGAAUUCAGUAGUUUCUCCUGCCAAUGGACAAACACUUCCAAAUUUGCAGAAGAUUCUCGACUUCAGUGACAAAAUUAAGAUAAGCUUGGAACUCUGGAAAAAUAGUACUUGGAAGAGUCAUCAGAGAGGAAGCGAUUAUACAAUGAAGUGAUCAAAUUCAAGGGAAAUAUCAGGGUCUUUUGCAGAUGCAGACCUCUAAACCAAGCUGAAAUAGCAAAUGACUGUGCUUCUGUAGCUGAGUUUGAUCCAUCACAGGAAAACGAGCUCCAGAUACUUUCAUCUGAUUCCUCCAAGAAGCAUUUAAAGUUUGACCAUGUCUUUAAGCCUGAAGAUGGCCAAGACACUGUUUUUGCACAUACAAAACCUAUGGAGGGAACACCAGAGAAUAGAGGAGUGAACUAUAGAACCUAAGAGCUAUUUCGCUGUUCAGAAAGCAGAAGUCAUCUCAUGAAGUUUGAGCUAUCGGUUAUAAUGAGAAGACAAGGGACCUCUUAGUAGAUACCAGCCCCCUAAAAAGUUGGAGGUUAAGCAAUCAGCAGAAGGGACACAAGAAGUCCCAGGAUUAGUCGAAGCUCAAGUGUACAAUACAGAUGGAGUGUGGGAUCUGCUCAAGAAAGGUUAAACCAACA